AGUGAACGCUGGCGGUAGGCCUAACACAUGCAAGUCGAACGGCAGCACAGUAAGAGCUUGCUCUUACGGGUGGCGAGUGGCGGACGGGUGAGGAAUACAUCGGAAUCUACUUUUUCGUGGGGGAUAACGUAGGGAAACUUACGCUAAUACCGCAUACGACCUACGGGUGAAAGCAGGGGAUCUUCGGACCUUGCGCGAUUGAAUGAGACGAUGUCGGAUUAGCUAGUUGGCGGGGUAAAGGCCCACCAAGGCGACGAUCCGUAGCUGGUCUGAGAGGAUGAUCAGCCGCACUGGAACUGAGACACGGUCCAGACUCCUACGGGAGGCAGCAGUGGGGAAUAUUGGACAAUGGGCGCAAGCCUGAUCCAGCCAUACCGCGUGGGUGAAGAAGGCCUUCGGGUUGUAAAUCCCUUUUGUUGGGAAAGAAAAGCAGCAGGUUAAUACCCCGCUGUUCUGACGGUACCCAAAGAAUAAGCACCGGCUAACUUCGUG
rnacentral:rRNA from 1 species